AAGUCGAGCGAACGGACGAGAAGCUUGCUUCUCUGAUGUUAGCGGCGGACGGGUGAGUAACACGUGGAUAACCUACCUAUAAGACUGGGAUAACUUCGGGAAACCGGAGCUAAUACCGGAUAAUAUUUUGAACCGCAUGGUUCAAAAGUGAAAGACGGUCUUGCUGUCGCUUAUAGAUGGAUCCGCGCUGCAUUAGCUAGUUGGUAAGGUAACGGCUUACCAAGGCAACGAUGCAUAGCCGACCUGAGAGGGUGAUCGGCCACACUGGAACUGAGACACGGUCCAGACUCCUACGGGAGGCAGCAGUAGGGAAUCUUCCGCAAUGGGCGAAAGCCUGACGGAGCAACGCCGCGUGAGUGAUGAAGGUCUUCGGAUCGUAAAACUCUGUUAUUAGGGAAGAACAUAUGUGUAAGUAACUGUGCACAUCUUGACGGUACCUAAUCAGAAAGCCACGGCUAACUACGUGCCAGCAGCCGCGGUAAUACGUAGGUGGCAAGCGUUAUCCGGAAUUAUUGGGCGUAAAGCGCGCGUAGGCGGUUUUUUAAGUCUGAUGUGAAAGCCCACGGCUCAACCGUGGAGGGUCAUUGGAAACUGGAAAACUUGAGUGCAGAAGAGGAAAGUGGAAUUCCAUGUGUAGCGGUGAAAUGCGCAGAGAUAUGGAGGAACACCAGUGGCGAAGGCGACUUUCUGGUCUGU
rnacentral:rRNA from 1 species